rnacentral:rRNA from 1 species
UACGUAGGGGGCUAGCGUUGUCCGGAAUCAUUGGGCGUAAAGAGCGUGUAGGCGGCUCGAUAAGUCCGCUGUGAAAGUCCAGGCUCAACCCUGGGAUGCCGGUGGAUACUGUCGGGCUCGAGUCCGGAAGAGGCGAGUGGAAUUCCUGGGUGUAGCGGUGAAAUGCGCAGAUAUCAGGAGGAACACCAUGGCGAAGGCAGCUCGCUGGGACGUGACUGACGCUGAGACGCGAAAGCGUGGGGAGCAAACAGG